rnacentral:tRNA from 1 species
AAGAUUUUAGGUUAUUUAAACCUUUAGCCUUCAAAGCUGAAAAAGAAAGUGUAUCCUUUUAAAUCUUA